GCCUUGAGCGAGAUAUAUUAAAAAAAGCAACAGCGUAUUUUGCACAGGAGUCGCUGAAAAAUACGCGUUAAUCGAACAAUGGCGACAACAAUUUCCCAUUGAAGCGAUGUGUCAGGUAUUUGGUGUAUCCAGGAGCGGUUAUUACAACUGGGUACAGCAUGAACCCUCAGACAGAAAACAAAGUGAUGAGCGGCUAAAACUGGAGAUUAAGGUGGCACAUAUCCGCACUCGCGAAACAUAUGGAACCCGGCGGCUCCAGACGGAGCUGGCAGAGAAUGGCAUCAUCGUUGGUCGUGACCGACUGGCACGUCUUCGUAAGGAGCUAAGGCUACGCUGUAAGCAGAAACGCAAGUUCAGAGCGACUACGAACUCGAACC
rnacentral:misc_RNA from 1 species